GACGAACGCUGGCGGCGUGCCUAAUACAUGCAAGUCGAGCGGACCAAAGGGAGCUUGCUCCUGGAGGUUAGCGGCGAACGGGUGAGUAACACGUGGGCAACCUGCCUGUAAGACUGGGAUAACAUCGAGAAAUCGGUGCUAAUACCGGAUAAUAAAAAGAACUGCAUGGUUCUUUUUUGAAAGAUGGUUUCGGCUAUCACUUACAGAUGGGCCCGCGGCGCAUUAGCUAGUUGGUGGGUAACGGCUCACCAAGGCGACGAUGCGUAGCCGACCUGAGAGGGUGAUCGGCCACACUGGGACUGAGACACGGCCCAGACUCCUACGGGAGGCAGCAGUAGGGAAUCUUCCGCAAUGGACGAAAGUCUGACGGAGCAACGCCGCGUGAGUGAUGAAGGUUUUCGGAUCGUAAAAACUCUGUUGUUAGGGAAGAACAAGUGCCGUUCGAAAAGGGCGGCACCUUGACGGUACCUAACGAGAAAGCCACGGCUAACUACGUGCCAGCAGCCGCGGU
rnacentral:rRNA from 1 species